rnacentral:rRNA from 1 species
UUCGCAAUGCCCGAAAGGGUGACGAAGCGACGCCGCGUGCGGGAAGAAGGCCUUCGGGUUGUAAACCGCUGUCGGGAGUUAAGAAAUGCAAGGAUAUUAAUAGUAUCUUUGCUUGACUAAGGCUCCGGAGGAAGCCACGGCUAACUCUGUGCCAGCAGCCGCGGUAAUACAGAGGCGGCAAGCGUUGUUCGGAAUUAUUGGGCGUAAAGAGCACGUAGGCGGCUAUGUAAGUCGGUUGUGAAAGCCUUCCGCUCAACGGGAGAACAGCAUCCGAUACUGCAUAGCUUGAGUGCGGGAGGGGAGAGUGGAACUUCUGGUGGAGCGGUGAAAUGCGUAGAUAUCAGAAGGAACGCCGGCGGCGAAAGCGGCUCUCUGGCCCAUAACUGACGCUGAGUGUGCGAAAGCUAGGGGAGCAAACGGGAUUAGAUACCCCGGUAGUCCUAGCCGUAAACGAUGGGCACUAAGUAGAGGGGUUUUA